UACGGAAGGUCCGAGCGUUAUCCGGAUUUAUUGGGUUUAAAGGGAGCGUAGGCCGGAGAUUAAGCGUGUUGUGAAAUGUAGAUGCUCAACAUCUGCACUGCAGCGCGAACUGGUUUCCUUGAGUACGCACAAAGUGGGCGGAAUUCGUGGUGUAGCGGUGAAAUGCUUAGAUAUCACGAAGAACUCCGAUUGCGAAGGCAGCUCACUGGAGCGCAACUGACGCUGAAGCUCGAAAGUGCGGGUAUCGAACAGG
rnacentral:rRNA from 1 species